GAUGAACGCUAGCGAUAGGCCUAACACAUGCAAGUCGAGGGGCAUCACAUGAAGUAGCAAUACGGAUGGUGGCGACCGGCGCACGGGUGAGUAACACGUAUGCAACCUGCCUUCAACAAGGGGAUAACCCGUUGAAAGACGGACUAAUACCCUAUAACACAGGGGUCCCGCAUGGGAAUAUUUGUUAAAGGACAACCGGUUGAAGAUGGGCAUGCGUUCCAUUAGCUAGUUGGCGGGGUAACGGCCCACCAAGGCAACGAUGGAUAGGGGAACUGAGAGGUUUAUCCCCCACACUGGUACUGAGACACGGACCAGACUCCUACGGGAGGCAGCAGUGAGGAAUAUUGGUCAAUGGACGCAAGUCUGAACCAGCCACGUCGCGUGAAGGAAGACGGCCCUACGGGUUGUAAACUUCUUUUGUAAGGGAAUAAAGUGUAGUACGCGUACUAUUUUGCAUGUACCUUACGAAUAAGG
rnacentral:rRNA from 1 species